rnacentral:rRNA from 1 species
ACUAAUCCUAGCCCUAGCCCUACACAAAUAUAAUUAUACUAUUAUAUAAAUCAAAACAUUUAUCCUACUAAAAGUAUUGGAGAAAGAAAUUCGUACAUCUAGGAGCUAUAGAACUAGUACCGCAAGGGAAAGAUGAAAGACUAAUUAAAAGUAAGAACAAGCAAAGAUUAAACCUUGUACCUUUUGCAUAAUGAACUAACUAGAAAACUUCUAACUAAAAGAAUUACAGCUAGAAACCCCGAAACCAAACGAGCUACCUAAAAACAAUUUUAUGAAUCAACUCGUCUAUGUGGCAAAAUAGUGAGAAGAUUUUUAGGUAGAGGUGAAAAGCCUAACGAGCUUGGUGAUAGCUGGUUACCCAAAAAAUGAAUUUAAGUUCAAUUUUAAACUUGCUAAAAAAACAACAAAAUCAAAAAGUAAGUUUAGAUUAUAGCCAAAAGAGGGACAGCUCUUCUGGAACGGAAAAAACCUUUAAUAGUGAAUAAUUAACAAAACAGCUUUUAACCAUUGUAGGCCUAAAAGCAGCCACCAAUAAAGAAAGCGUUCAAGCUCAACAUAAAAUUUCAAUUAAUUCCAUAAUUUACACCAACUUCCUAAACUUAAAAUUGGGUUAAUCUAUAACUUUAUAGAUGCAACACUGUUAGUAUGAGUAACAAGAAUUCCAAUUCUCCAGGCAUACGCGUAUAACAACUCGGAUAACCAUUGUUAGUUAAUCAGACUAUAGGCAAUAAUCACACUAUAAAUAAUCCACCUAUAACUUCUCUGUUAACCCAACACCGGAAUGCCUAAAGGAAAGAUCCAAAAAGAUAAAAGGAACUCGGCAAACAAGAACCCCGCCUGUUUACCAAAAACAUCACCUCUAGCAUUACAAGUAUUAGAGGCACUGCCUGCCCAGUGACUAAAGUUUAACGGCCGCGGUAUCCUGACCGUGCAAAGGUAGCAUAAUCACUUGUUCCUUAAUUAGGGACUAGCAUGAACGGCUAAACGAGGGUCCAACUGUCUCUUAUCUUUAAUCAGUGAAAUUGACCUUUCAGUGAAGAGGCUGAAAUAUAAUAAUAAGACGAGAAGACCCUAUGGAGCUUAAAUUAUAUAACUUAUCUAUUUAAUUUAUUAAACCUAAUGGCCCAAAAACUAUAGUAUAAGUUUGAAAUUUCGGUUGGGGUGACCUCGUAGAAUAAAAGAUCCUCCGAAUGAUUAUAACCUAGACUUACAAGUCAAAGUAAAAUCAACAUAUCUUAUUGACCCAGAUAUAUUUUGAUCAACGGACCAAGUUACCCUAGGGAUAACAGCGCAAUCCUAUUUAAGAGUUCAUAUCGACAAUUAGGGUUUACGACCUCGAUGUUGGAUCAGGACAUCCCAAUGGUGUAGAAGCUAUUAAUGGUUCGUUUGUUCAACGAUUAAAGUCCUACGUGAUCUGAGUUCAGACCGGAGCAAUCCAGGUCGGUUUCUAUCUAUUUACGAUUUCUCCCAGUACGAAAGGACAAGAGAAAUAGAGCCACCUUACAAAUAAGCGCUCUCAACUUAAUUUAUGAAUAAAAUCUAAAUAAAAUAUAUACGUACACCCUCUAACCUAGAGAAGGUU